rnacentral:misc_RNA from 1 species
GCAAACUUGGUCAUUUAGAGGAAGUAAAAGUCGUAACAAGGUUUCCGUAGGUGAACCUGCGGAAGGAUCAUUAACAAAUUUAAAAAGAAAAUUGGGAUUGCCUUUCGGGGCUCCUGGUUUUUUUCUUUUUAAAAUUUUUGGUUAGGUUGUAGAGGGGGUUUUCCUCCUCUGCACCUAACAAUCAUCCUCUGUGAACAGUUUAUAAUUUUACCUUGAGUUAAGAAUUUAUUUUCUUUUCUCAAGGGAAACCACUCACUCUUUAAAAUAUUAAAGCCUGAAAAAGAAAUCCUUAAUAAAAAGGGAUUUAAAAUUUUUUAAAUUUUUAAAACAACUUUUAACAACGGAUCUCUUGGCUCUCGCAUCGAUGAAGAACGCAGC